rnacentral:rRNA from 1 species
AGCCUGAACGCUGGCGGCGUGGCUAAGACAUGCAAGUCGUACGGAUGUAGCAAUACAUCAGUGGCGAACGGGUGAGUAAUGAAUCGCUAAUGUGCCCCGGACUCUGGGAUAGCCGGUCGAAAGGCCGGGUAAUACCAGAUGAUAUACCUUCAUCGCAUGAUGAGGGUCUCAAAGGUCCGCCGGUCUGGGAGCAGGCGAUUUCGUAUCAGCUAGUUGGUGAGGUAACGGCUCACCAAGGCGACGACGCGUAGCCGGACUGAGAGGUUGGCCGGCCACAUUGGGACUGAGACACUGCCCAGACUCCUACGGGGGGCUGCAGUAACGAAUCUUCCGCAAUGCACGAAAGUGUGACGGAGCGACGCCGCGUGGAGGACGAAGUUCUUCGGAAUGUAAACUCCUGUCAGAGGAAAGAAAGUUCUGAUCUACCUCAGAGGAAGAGGCGGCUAACUCUGCGCCAGCAGCCGC